AAUAAUAAAUAUAAAAUAAUAAAUGAGCUCCCACUGGAGAGAGAUAGCUUUGUGAUUCGUGAUUGGAGGAAAUGAAAAGAACACUUUACAUCUAGUCAAUAAAACUUCCUUUGGAAAAUAUCCUUCACAAAUCAUCAGUUUUCCCCAAAACACUACGUGUCAGUUCAAAGGUCAUGAACUCUCUUAACUCUUUGCUAACUGUUCAACCACUAUUGGUAAUUGAAGAUUAUUAUAUAUUUUUCCAAAUUGUGAAAAGCUGCUUUCCCUUUCUUUAAACGUGUUUCCCUGUUCCUCUCUCUCCAUGUCCACGUCUCCUCCCGGCUGUAGAGCCGGCCGCUAAGGAGGCAGUGGUCACCCGCCGCUUUUCUCUCGCCUCCUCUCUCACCUCCUCUUCCUCCUCCUCCUCCUCCUUCGCCACACGACGCACAAAAGGUCCCCUGUCUGCUAGCAUAAAGAGCAAGAGACAUGAGAUUAAGAGCGAUCCCACUCCAUUUGGCUAUGAAGACACUUUACGCGGUGCUAUGGCUGCAGUCAGGAAGCGUCAGAGCGGGACUGCUGGCGGCCCCCCAGCUGUCCCUAGAUCCACCUCACAACCAGGCUGGGCCCAGAAACGGCUCCCUUCCAUGGACGCAGACGACUUUGAGACGAUCCCCUCCAGUGCAGAGGAGUCCUCCAACUCGUCAGAAGAGGAAGGCAGCAAUAAAACCGGGGGCAGGGGCCGUUUCCGGGUGCAGCUGACCUAUGAGUCUCGUGAAGGCCGGGACCUUUCUCUGGAGGAUGGCCACCUGGUCCAGUUUGUGGAGGAAGUGGAGAGCGGACACUGGUGA
ensembl:lncRNA